GCAUGCUUGUCUGUGGGCAUUACACUAGACCUGAGUUCACACAGACCCAAGUGUUCUAUGCUGUCACUAUGAAACUCUGGAACAUUCUCUACUGAGAUUGGGAAACACCCUUUCUCUCUGAUCUCUCACCCCUUAUAAAACUGCAUUACAGAAAAAAACGCAGUGCUUUGGACUGGUCCUGUGUCGAGUUGGGGUAAAACGAUUACUAAUUUGACAGAGCUGAAAAGCUGAGUCUCUGCAAGAUCAAGGCCACCCAUGAUGUAACUUCCUUCAACCUCUCGCUUCAGUUCUUGACCAGCAAACACAGUGGGCUUCUCUUCCUGGCUGCUGGGCUCAGCGACCACCUGCUGCUAGAGCUCAGGGAUGGACAUCUGCAGGCAGUGCAAACAUUUGGACAAAACAUCACGAUGUCCAUUAUGUGACCUAUGAGCAUCCUUGCACGACGGUGGUCUGUGAGAAAUGAAAGGCUUGCGAGAAUGACUAAGGCCAGGAACUUUAACUUUUAACGAAGGAGAGAUGACGCUGAUUUCCUUGUUAAACUAAUCUGAUGUGAAUGUUAUUCGAUAGGAAAUGCACCGGGGGAAAAUAUAAGUAGGAGAGAUCUCACCUUGAAGCUAUCCACAGCACUUCAGCAGAAACAUUGUGAUCAGAAAACUGCAAAGCUGCAGGCUGCAGCAGCUCAACCUGGAUUAUGUGCUGCGAGUGACACACAUGCGGGAGAAGUCAUGUUUCUUUCA